CGGGGGGAGCAAGCGUUGUUCGGAUUUACUGGGCGUAAAGGGCGCGUAGGCGGUCAGCACAAGUCAGUUGUGAAAUCUCCGGGCUUAACUCGGAAAGGUCAACUGAUACUGUGCGACUAGAGUGCGGAAGGGGCAACUGGAAUUCUCGGUGUAGCGGUGAAAUGCGUAGAUAUCGAGAGGAACACCUGCGGCGAAGGCGGGUUGCUGGGCCGACACUGACGCUGAUGCGCGAAAGCCAGCGGAGCGAACGGGAUUAGAUACCCCGGUAGUCCUGGCCUUAAACGAUGGAUGCUUGGUGUCUGGAGUUUUAUAGUCUCCGGGUGCCGUAGCUAACGCGUUAAGCAUCCCGCCUGGGGAGUACGGUCGCAAGACUG
rnacentral:rRNA from 1 species